AUGUGAGAUGAGAAGAGACAAUUGAAAAAUAACCCCAAUUUCGAUUAUACACAACAUCUCGCCUAGCCCAAAUUUUGUAAGACAGUGUACGACUCUCACUCAUUGCUCUCUCUCCUAUUUGAGUUGGAUGCUCUCCUCGCCGCUCUCUUCUACCUUUCCCACUCUCUGUCUUUGGAUCGUUGCGAAUUGAUUUCAACAUGCAUAUGUAAAUUAAACAGUUAUUCGUGACGUCAGACAGAGACAGAAAAUUCCGCUAGCGACGACUUGACUCUGAAACUCCCAACAUGUGGUCCCGCCCCCUAAACCGCCCAGCAGACGAAUCACAAUCGGAAAGAGCAAACAAAACGUGCCGCGAUAAGAGAUAAAAGUCAUGGCGUGGAGGGCCGGCUGAGGAGUGAAGUUCUUAGGUGAUCUAAAAUGCUCAAAUCCCACUCAAAGUCACAAAUAAAUACACCGUAACGGAAACGUACGGUACAGUAAUACACUCUUAUCUCUGCAUGUUUGUUGAGCCGGGUAUGUACCUGCAAAAUCCAAGGUGUAUUUACACAAAGGUAAGGCAUUAAUUACCAGGAAGCAGCGCUUUUGCAAUUGUUUUUUAUUUCGGUUAAAUUGCGUUGAUGCCUCAAUUAGUAAUGCAUUCAUGACUACAUCUUGUCUGCCCACAGCCACCUUGCACCAGGUACCAAAAUAUGCAGCAAGAGAGCGGAAGGAAUUUAAACCAAACAAAUGGCGGACAACAAAUGCUCAACAGAAAGAAAGAUAUUUAAUUUAUUAAAUUAUUAAUUUCCUUAAGCGAAUAUGCAAAUGAGCAGCAGUCUGUGCACAAUUUCAUCGUGCAUUUCAAAAACCACUUUCCAAAAUCAUUCAAAUAAGAAUAUUCCUUUAAUUUUUGGCGAAGGCUUGGUGCCUUGGCUUGUGUAAGAACUCUGGCGCGAGAACCUCAACUGGUUCCAUAGUGUAGCGGUUAUCACGUCUGCUUUACACGCAGAAGG
rnacentral:lncRNA from 1 species